CCUACGGGGGGCAGCAGUGGGGAAUAUUGCACAAUGGGGGAAACCCUGAUGCAGCGACGCCGCGUGAGUGAAGAAGUAAUUCGUUAUGUAAAGCUCUAUCAGCAGGGAAGAAAAUGACGGUACCUGAGUAAGAAGCCCUGGCGAACUACGUGCCAGCAGCCGCGGUAAUACGGAGGGGGCCAGCGUUAUCCGGAUUUACGGGGUGUAAAGGGAGUGUAGACGGCAGUGCAAGUCUGGAGUGAAAGGCGGGGGCUCAACCCCCGGACUGCGCUGGAAACUGUACGGCUGGAGUGCAGGAGAGGUAAGUGGAAUUCGUAGUGUAGCGGUGAAAUGCGUAGAUAUUAGGAAGAACACCAGUGGCGAAGGCAGCUUACCGGACUGUAACUGACGUUGAGGCUCGAAAGCGUGGGGAGCAAACAGGAUUAGAUACCCUUGUAGUC
rnacentral:rRNA from 1 species